AACAGGAUUAGAUACCCUGGUAGUCUCGGCCCUAAACGAUGAUCACUAGGUGUCAGGGGGUUUCCCUUGGUGCCGCAGCUAACGCAUUAAGUGAUCCGCCUGGGGACUACGGCCGCAAGGUUGAAACUCAAAGGAAUUGGCGGGGGCCCGCACAAGCGGUGGAGCAUAUGGCUUAAUUCGAUGCAACGCGAAGAACCUUACCCAGGCUUGACAUGUAACUGCAAGCUCCCCAAAAGGAGCCGCCUUCGAGGGUGUUACACAGGUGGUGCAUGGCUGUCGUCAGCUCGUGUUGUGAAAUGUUGGGUUAAGUCCCGCAACGAGCGCAACCCUCAUGUUAUGUUGCCAGCGAGUAAUGUCGGGAACUCAUAACAAACUGCCUAUGUAAAUAGGAGGAAGGUGGGGAUGACGUCAAGUCAUCAUGCCCCUUACGCCUGGGGCUGCACGUAUGCUACAAUGGAUGCUACAAACAGUUGCGAACCCGCGAGGGGAAGCUAAUCUGAAAAAAGUAUUCUCAGUUCGGAUUGGAGUCUGCAACUCGACUCCAUGAAGCCGGAAUCGCUAGUAACCGCAGGUCAGCAUUACUGCGGUGAAUACGUUCCCGGGCCUUGCACACACCGCCCGUCACGUGACGAAAGUUGGUUUUGCCCGAAGUCGUUGAGCUAACCGCAAGGAAGCAGACGCCGAAGGUAAAGCCGAUGAUUGGCGCGAAGUCGUAACAAGGUAACC
rnacentral:rRNA from 1 species